rnacentral:misc_RNA from 1 species
GAUGAAGAACGUAGCGAAAUGCGAUAAGUAAUGUGAAUUGCAGAAUUCAGUGAAUCAUCGAAUCUUUGAACGCACCUUGCACCCUUUGGUAUUCCGAAGGGUAUGCUCGUUUGAGUGUCAUUGUACUCUCACACUUCUAAUUCCUUUCGGGAUUGGGAGCGGUGGACUUGGGUGUUGCUGCUUUAGUUGUGGCUCACCUCAAAUAAGUUAGUGCAACUCUUGGUUGGACAUAGUACGGCGUGAUAAGUGUCUUCGCCGGCGCCUCUGUAAGGAGGUUGGCCGAUCGGGAGCUCUGUGCUUCAAACCGUCUUCGGACAAUCUUUGACAACUUGACCUCAAAUCGAGUAGGACUACCCGCUGAACUUAAGCAUAUCAAUAAGCGGAGGA